GGAAUAUUGGACAAUGGGCGAAAGCCUGAUCCAGCAAUGCCGCGUGAGUGAUGAAGGCCUUAGGGUUGUAAAGCUCUUUUACACGGGAUGAUAAUGACAGUACCGGGAGAAUAAGCCCCGGCUAACUCCGUGCCAGCAGCCGCGGUAAUACGGAGGGGGCUAGCGUUGUUCGGAAUUACUGGGCGUAAAGCGCACGUAGGCGGCUUUGUAAGUUAGAGGUGAAAGCCCGGAGCUCAACUCCGGAAUUGCCUUUAAGACUGCAUCGCUCGAAUCAUGGAGAGGUGAGUGGAAUUCCGAGUGUAGAGGUGAAAUUCGUAGAUAUUCGGAAGAACACCAGUGGCGAAGGCGGCAUCCUGGACCGACAUUGACGCUGAGGAGCGAAAGCUAGGGGAGCAAAC
rnacentral:rRNA from 1 species